GGUGGGGCAAGGUUCUGUGGCUUGGUUGUAACUCCGUCAUUCCACCGCGUCAAGAGGUAGUCGUUUUUACGCGGUCACGGAUUUGCAAAUGAGUGGGGUUUUCCAUCUCCGGCGUUAGUUGCAGAUCUGUCACACACGUACAUACACUGCGUUUCUCUCUGUUAUUUUGAUCUUAAUCGCCGCCUCCCUGUUAUUUUGCUCAUAAUCGCAAAGUAUACGACGCCGUUGACAUUUUCGGGAUCUUACAAGGACCGAGGAAGUGGAGGAGGUAGGGGUUCGGGUACUACAAGUUGUAGGGGGUCUACGGUGAGGCCAAGUUUAGACACGAACAAUCUUUUAAAGUUGUUCUACGGUUUGGAUUCGUUGAAACUCGAGCUUAAUCGAUUGGAAAUUGAAGUCACAGGUGAUUAAUGCAAAAUGAUUUGUUGGAUUAAUUGAAUCUUUUUUGUUUUUGAAUGUUGAUAUUGUUUGUUCUUCUGCAGAUUAUGAUCGAGAACCGAGUGAAUCACAAUCUUAGAUAGAUCUUAAAUUAAAUGUCUACAUAAGAAAAAAAUGAUUGAAAACUAUAACUUUAAUGUCAUUGUGGGUUAACUGCUCAUUUAAUUAGUUGAUGGUUGCAUAGGUGUU